rnacentral:rRNA from 1 species
GAUAAACGCUGGCGGCGUGCCUUAUGCAUGCAAGUCGAACGAUUUAUCGCAAGAUAGAUAGUGGCAGACGGGUGAGUAACACGUAAGUGACCUAUCCUCGAGUGGGGAAUAACCCCGGGAACUGGGGCUAAUACCGCAUGAUGCGCUAGGGUUAGUACCUUAGCAUCAAAGCCGCAAGGCGCUUGAGGUUGGGCUUGCGUCCUAUCAGGUAGUUGGUAGGGUAACGGCCUACCAAGCCUAUGACGGGUAGCUGGUCUGAGAGGAUGUCCAGCCACACUGGGACUGAGAUACGGCCCAGACUCCUACGGGAGGCUG